CUCUUCGUAGCUCAGUUGGUAGAGCAGCUGACUCUUAAUCAGCGGGUCAUAGGUUCGAGUCCUAUCGAGGAGACCA
rnacentral:tRNA from 1 species